rnacentral:tRNA from 1 species
UGGGCGAUAGCUAAAUGAGAAGGCACUUGGCCGUUAACCAAGAGAUAAUAGGAUAAAAACCUAUUCGCCCAG